rnacentral:tmRNA from 1 species
GGGGCUGAUUCUGGAUUCGACGGGAUUCGCGAAACCCAAGGUGCAUGCCGAGGGGCGGUUGGCCUCGUAAAAAGCCGCAAAAAAAUAGUCGCAAACGACGAAAACUACGCUUUAGCAGCUUAAUAACCUGCUUAGAGCCCUCUCUCCCUAGCCUCCGCUCUUAGGACGGGGAUCAAGAGAGGGUCAAACCCAAAAGAGAUCGCGUGGAUGCCCUGCCUGGGGUUGAAGCGUUAAAACUAAUCAGGCUAGUCUGGUAGUGGCGUGUCCGUCCGCAGCUGCCAGGCGAAUGUAAAGACUGGACUAAGCAUGUAGUACCGAGGAUGUAGGAAUUUCGGACGCGGGUUCAACUCCCGCCAGCUCCACCA